rnacentral:rRNA from 1 species
UACGAAGGGUGCAAGUGUUACUCGGAAUUACUGGGCGUAAAGCGUGCGUAGGUGGUGGCUUAAGUCCGUUGUGAAAGCCCUGGGCUCAACCUGGGAAUUGCAGUGGAUACUGGGUCACUAGAGUGUGGUAGAGGGUGGCGGAAUUCCCGGUGUAGCAGUGAAAUGCGUAGAGAUCGGGAGGAACACCCGUGGCGAAGGCGGCCACCUGGGCCAACACUGACACUGAGGCAUGAAAGCGUGGGGAGCAAACAGG